rnacentral:lncRNA from 1 species
GUUUCCAUUUUUAGAUUUCAGCUACAGAAGGCAGGAAUCCUUUGGACUUGGCCCUUUAUCAGUGGAAUGGACAGAGCAGCUCUCGGUGGGGUCUCUGUUGGGAAUGCCUGCUGAGACGGGACCAAGGACGGCUGCAGGAUGUGGUGUCUGUGCUCAGCGUCACCUCCUCCCAGGCUCCUGGGAAGCACCUGAGCAUCUCCUGACAAAGCCACCAUGAGCAAGACCCUCAGAGAAGGUAUGAAGAUGAGAGGCUGGUGUGAAGAGGCUGCUGUGAAGCAACUAUAUAGCAUCGGGCAGGACAUAAGGGGAAAUUGUUGCUUUCAUGUUCCUUUACCCCCACAGUUUGGAUUUCUGCCACAAGGAUCACUGUGGUCUUCCUCCCUGGGGCUCACUCCACCUACCCCACACCUCCCACCUCCCCCGUCCUCUCUUGGGGGACUUCCUGAGUUCUCGACAGAGCAGUUUCACUGUCUUCUCUCCACGCUUCCUGGACUGGCCCGCCCAUUUUUUUCUAUGACCCAGAAUUCCUUCCCAAAUAAGAGCGUCAUAUUCCUUGAGCCCCUUCACUAGAAGCAAGGAGAUGGGCAGGCGUUGAACUGCGGCUUUUCUCUAGACUCUUCCCUAAUCCCUAGGUUCCCCCAACUAUUUAGUCUAGAGCAAGCCCAGGAACAGUGAUUUUUUUUUUUUAACCUGCCAUUUCUGUUAUUCAAGCUGUUUUAGUCAGUUCAGGCUGCUGUAACAAAAAUGCAAUGGCCUGGGUGGUUUUAACAACAGAAAUGGAUUUCUCACAGUUCUUGUGAGGCUGGGACGCAGGAACCCCCACAUCCAAGUGCCAGGCAGUUCCGUGGCUGGGAGGGCUCCAGACUGGUGUGUGGAUGGCACCUUCUGCUGUGUCCUCACAUGGCUGAGAGAUGGGUCAUCUCUGUUCUUAUCAGGGCACUAAUCCCAUUCACAAGGCCCCCCAUGACCUAAUCACCUCCUAAAUGCCCCGCUUCCUAAUACCAGCACCUUGGAAAAUAGGGCUUCAAGAUACAAAUUUUGGGGGACUCAAACAUUCCAUCCAUAGCACCCGCUCAUGUGCUGUGAUGUCCAGUGAGCAGGCGGAGUUCCAGGGCUGGUCAGUGCCAGGUGCUCCUUCUCCCACCCGAGAACAGGGGCCAGGUUGCUCCUCAGGCACCCUGGGCAACUGCCCCUUCCCUUCCAGUGGGGCCUGACCUGGCUACCGAGCUUGGCAGCUAAUAGGCGGGCCCCUCAGCAUUCACGCUCCUGAGCUGCUUUAUCAAACUAGGAUUGUUCCCCCAGGUCUAAGAAAACCAUCCAUUCACUGCAAAGUUAUUUAUUACUGCGGAUGGGCUAGGAGUUAGAGGAAGAGAGUGACUCAAAUCACAACACCUCCUGGACGAAGCUGGAAGGGAUUAAAAUACGGCCUAAUUUCUCCCUUGCUGUGUGAAGCGUGUGGUUCUCCUAGAACAUCAGCCCGACUGUCGCUGGGUAGCGGCGGUACUGUUCAUUCUGCAUUAGCUUUGUCCAGAUUGUUCAGUGUGGGUCCCUGCCUACAGAUCUUGAUUCCUUGAGAUUGCCCUUUGUGCUUCUGUCUGGGGACUGCCUGUUUCUGUAAUGGCCACCGUCUCAGAACACAUGGUUGUAGGCCUCAGCAUUUGCCUUACACACAGCCCCCUUGGAGACAAACCGUGUCUGUGUCCCUCAGAAGGCCCUGACUUUCAGGGCACACUCCAGCCUGACUUUGGCACUCUGCUAGACACAUCCGAAACGCUGGUUCUCGUGUUGAAGUCUGUUAUGGAUAUGUAGGGUAAGGCAGGGAAACUGGAGCGCCUGCAUACCCUUGACUUCCUCCAUUUGGAAAAGAUAACCCUGAGACAUGGUGGAGGAGAAGGGGCCCUGACCUGUCAGCUACAUCUGGAUGUAACUCCCCUGAUGAAGAAAGUGCCAGAGGCAGCAAAGCAGCCCUUAUAGGGUAUUUUGUGCUCCCCCAACAGAGGAAGAGGAGCUUAGGGUCUCCAGGGAGAAUGUCUGGUUGUGAAGAGCCGCCAGGACCUGGAGCUGCACGGUUGCUCAGUGUGCAUUUCACUUGGUCAGCCCCUACGCUGGAGAGUGCUUGCAUCCGAACCUUCAGUGCCUGGAUAGACACUGAGCUGAGCGAACGGUAUGCUGGAAAAUGAAGCGUGCAAGUGACAAAGUGCUCAACUUAGACUCUGGGCAAAAUUCUCACAAAGGGCUUUCUAAUCCUCA